rnacentral:rRNA from 1 species
GGAGGUAGUGACAAUAAAUCACAAUGCGGAACAAUGUUUUGCAAUUGGAUUGAGAACAACGUACAAACCUUAUCGAUAAACAAUUGGAGGGCAAGUCUGGUGCCAGCAGCCGCGGUAAUUCCAGCUCCAAUAGCGUAUAUUAACGUUGUUGCAGUUAAAAAGCUCGUAGUUGAAAUGAAGGGUAGUUGUGUAAUGAAUACAUUCGUGUAUUUUGUUAUUCUUCUACCCUCCUUCUAAAUUCGAUAUAUGAGUAUUAAUUUACUUGUAUAUGGUUUUAGACCUUUACUGUGAGAAAAUUAGAGUGUUCAAAGCAGGCAUUUGCUUGAAUAUAUUAGCAUGGAAUAAUCAUGUAUGAUUUUCAUGAUGUAUUUGAUUGGUUUGGUUCAUGAGAAUAAGAUUAAAAGGGACAGUUGGGGGUAUUCAUAUUCAAUAGUCAGAGGUGAAAUUCUCGGAUUUAUGGAAGAUGAACAAGUGCGAAAGCA